rnacentral:rRNA from 1 species
UACGUAGGGGGCAAGCGUUGUUCGGAAUUACUGGGCGUAAAGCGCGUGUAGGCGGUUUCCCAAGUCGGGUGUGAAAGCCUUGAGCUCAACUCAAGAAAUGCACUCGGUACUGGGUGACUAGAGGACCGGAGAGGAUAGUGGAAUUCCCAGUGUAGUGGUGAAAUACGUAGAGAUUGGGAAGAACACCAGUGGCGAAGGCGGCUAUCUGGACGGUUUCUGACGCUAAGACGCGAAAGCGUGGGGAGCAAACGGG